rnacentral:rRNA from 1 species
GAGUUUGAUCAUGGCUCAGAUUGAACGCUGGCGGCAGGCCUAACACAUGCAAGUCGAACGGUAACAGGAAGCAGCUUGCUGCUUCGCUGACNAGUGGCGGACGGGUGAGUAAUGUCUGGGAAACUGCCUGAUGGAGGGGGAUAACUACUGGAAACGGUAGCUAAUACCGCAUAACGUCNCAAGACCAAAGAGGGGGACCUUAGGGCCUCUUGCCAUCGGAUGUGCCCAGAUGGGAUUAGCUAGUAGGUGGGGUAACGGCUCACCUAGGCGACGAUCCCUAGCUGGUCUGAGAGGAUGACCAGCCACACUGGAACUGAGACACGGUCCAGACUCCUACGGGAGGCAGCAGUGGGGAAUAUUGCACAAUGGGCGCAAGCCUGAUGCAGCCAUGCCGCGUGUAUGAAGAAGGCCUUCGGGUUGUAAAGUACUUUCAGCGGGGAGGAAGGGAGUAAAGUUAAUACCUUUGCUCAUUGACGUUACCCGCAGAAGAAGCACCGGCUAACUCCGUGCCAGCAGCCGCGGUAAUACGGAGGGUGCAAGCGUUUAAUCGGAAUUACUGGGCGUAAAGCGCACGCAGGCGGUUUGUUAAGUCAGAUGUGAAAUCCCCGGGCUCAACCUGGGAACUGCAUCUGAUACUGGCAAGCUUGAGUCUCGUAGAGGGGGGUAGAAUUCCAGGUGUAGCGGUGAAAUGCGUAGAGAUCUGGAGGAAUACCGGUGGCGAAGGCGGCCCCCUGGACGAAGACUGACGCUCAGGUGCGAAAGCGUGGGGAGCAAACAGGAUUAGAUACCCUGGUAGUCCACGCCGUAAACGAUGUCGACUUGGAGGUUGUGCCCUUGAGGCGUGGCUUCCGGAGCUAACGCGUUAAGUCGACCGCCUGGGGAGUACGGCCGCAAGGUUAAAACUCAAAUGAAUUGACGGGGGCCCGCACAAGCGGUGGAGCAUGUGGUUUAAUUCGAUGCAACGCGGAGAACCUUACCUGGUCUUGACAUCCACGGAAGUUUUCAGAGAUGAGAAUGUGCCUUCGGGAACCGUGAGACAGGUGCUGCAUGGCUGUCGUCAGCUCGUGUUGUGAAAUGUUGGGUUAAGUCCCGCAACGAGCGCAACCCUUAUCCUUUGUUGCCAGCGGUCCGGCCGGGAACUCAAAGGAGACUGCCAGUGAUAAACUGGAGGAAGGUGGGGAUGACGUCAAGUCAUCAUGGCCCUUACGACCAGGGCUACACACGUGCUACAAUGGCGCAUACAAAGAGAAGCGACCUCGCGAGAGCAAGCGGACCUCAUAAAGUGCGUCGUAGUCCGGAUUGGAGUCUGCAACUCGACUCCAUGAAGUCGGAAUCGCUAGUAAUCGUGGAUCAGAAUGCCACGGUGAAUACGUUCCCGGGCCUUGUACACACCGCCCGUCACACCAUGGGAGUGGGUUGCAAAAGAAGUAGGUAGCUUAACCUUCGGGAGGGCGCUUACCACUUUGUGAUUCAUGACUGGGGUGAAGUCGUAACAAGGUAACC